ACCUCUGUGGUGUAGUGGUAGCACGCGCCUCCGGUAUGGAUGGAACGCGGGUUCAACUCCCGUCUAAAGUC